GAGUGCGCCUUGAUGAGCAGGAGGCUGCGCGCUGGAUUCGCGCGGCUGCCGAGCAAGGCAGCGGGCGCGCGCAGUUCAAUCUGGCCGUGCGUUUUC
rnacentral:tRNA from 1 species